rnacentral:rRNA from 1 species
AUUGAACGCUGGCGGCAGGCCUAACACAUGCAAGUCGAACGAGUGGCGGACGGGUGAGUAAUGUCUGGGACACUGCCCGAUGGAGGGGGAUAACUACUGGAAACGGUAGCUAAUACCGCAUACCAUCGGAUGUUCCCAGAUGGGCUUAGCUAGUUGGUGGGGUAACGGCUCACCUAGGCGACGAUCCCUAUCUGGUCUGAGAGGAUGACCAGCCACACUGUAACUGAGACACGGUCCAGACUCCUACGGGAGGCAGCAGUGGGGAAUAUUGCACAAUGGGCGCAAGCCGGAUGCAGCCAGGCCGCGUGUAUGAAGAAGGCCUUCGGGUUGUAAAGUACUUUCAGCGAGGAGGCGUUACUCGCAGAAGAAGCACCGGCUAACUCCGUGCCAGCAGCCGCGGUAAUUC